GAUGAACGCUGGCGGCGUGCCUAAUACAUGCAAGUAGAACGCUGAAGCUUGGUGCUUGCACCGAGCGGAUGAGUUGCGAACGGGUGAGUAACGCGUAGGUAACCUGCCUCUUAGCGGGGGAUAACUAUUGGAAACGAUAGCUAAUACCGCAUAAAAGUCGAUAUCGCAUGAUAUUGAUUUGAAAGGUGCAAAUGCAUCACUAAGAGAUGGACCUGCGUUGUAUUAGCUAGUUGGUGAGGUAACGGCUCACCAAGGCGACGAUACAUAGCCGACCUGAGAGGGUGAUCGGCCACACUGGGACUGAGACACGGCCCAGACUCCUACGGGAGGCAGCAGUAGGGAAUCUUCGGCAAUGGGGGCAACCCUGACCGAGCAACGCCGCGUGAGUGAAGAAGGUUUUCGGAUCGUAAAGCUCUGUUGUAAGAGAAGAACAAGUGUGAGAGUGGAAAGUUCACACUGUGACGGUAACUUACCAGAAAGGGACGGCUAACUACGUG
rnacentral:rRNA from 1 species